rnacentral:misc_RNA from 1 species
AGUAUUAGAUGUGUUACAUCCAUUACAUUCAUUUUAAAAUAAUUUGAGUUUAUAUAUGAGUUGAGUAGACAGAGGGUUCCAAUGAUAUACUAUAGAAGAAUAGCAAACAAAUUCCCCCAUCUGCCUCACAGGUUCACAGGUGUGUGUGGAUGAAAGAGCAAAAGGUGUGCACAUGCCCAAAUCAAUGGGCCAGCUACAACCAAAUACUCCUCAUUAAAAUUCAAUAAUGAUCCUUCCGCAGGUUCACCUACGGAAA